rnacentral:rRNA from 1 species
AUUGAACGCUGGCGGAAUGCUUUACACAUGCAAGUCGAACGGUAGAGGGGGCAACCCCCUUGAGAGUGGCGAACGGGUGAGUAAUAUAUCGGAACGUGCCCAGUCGUGGGGAUAACGUAGCGAAAGUUACGCUAAUACCGCAUACGAUCUAAGGAUGAAAGCGGGGGAUCGCAAGACCUCGCGCGAUUGGAGCGGCCGAUAUCAGAUUAGGUAGUUGGUGAGGUAAAGGCUCACCAAGCCAACGAUCUGUAGCUGGUCUGAGAGGACGACCAGCCACACUGGAACUGAGACACGGUCCAGACUCCUACGGGAGGCAGCAGUGGGGAAUUUUGGACAAUGGACGCAAGUCUGAUCCAGCCAUGCCGCGUGUGUGAAGAAGGCC